rnacentral:rRNA from 1 species
CCUGGAGACUCCUACGGGAGGCAGCAGUGGGGAAUAUUGGACAAUGGGGGGAACCCUGAUCCAGCAAUGCCGCGUGUGUGAAGAAGGCCUUCGGGUUGUAAAGCACUUUCAGUAGGGAGGAAAGGUGCGUAGUUAAUACCUGCGCAAUUGACGUUACCUACAGAAGAAGCACCGGCUAACUCCGUGCCAGCAGCCGCGGUAAUACGGAGGGUGCGAGCGUUAUUCGGAAUUACUGGGCGUAAAGCGCACGCAGGCGGUUGCCCAAGUCAGAUGUGAAAGCCCCGGGCUUAACCUGGGAACUGCAUUUGAAACUGGGCGACUAGAGUAUGAAAGAGGAAAGCGGAAUUUCCAGUGUAGCAGUGAAAUGCGUAGAUAUUGGAAGGAACACCGAUGGCGAAGGCAGCUUUCUGGGUCGAUACUGACGCUCAUGUGCGAAAGCGUGGGGAGCAAACAGGAUUAGAUACCCUUGUAGUCCU